rnacentral:rRNA from 1 species
CCCCUAGACGUUCUGGGCUGCACGCGCGCUACAAUAAUACGCACAGCGAGUAUCACCGAGCUCGAAAGGGCAAGGUAAACAAUAGAAAAGGUACUGUAAUGGUUAUAGAUCCUUGUAAUUAUUGAUCUUCAACGAGGAAUUCCUAGUAAGUAUGUGUCAUCAUCACGCACUGAUUACGUCCCUGCCCUUUGUACACACCGCCCGUCGCUCCUACCAAUUGAGUGAGCCGAUGAAACUGCCGGAUGUGGACUAUUCAUAGUCUGCAGAAGAUAUUUGAAUCGUAGCGCUUAGAGGAAGGAGAAGUCGUAACA